rnacentral:rRNA from 1 species
AGCAGCCGCCGCGGGAAUACAGAGGAUGCAAGCGUUAUCCGGAAUGAUUGGGCGUAAAGGACGCGUAGGCGGAUUACCAAGUCUCUUGUGAAAUCUAACGGCUUAACCGUUAAACUGCUUGGGAAACUGAUAAUCUAGGGUAAGGGAGAGGCAGAUGGAAUUCUUGGUGUAGGGGUAAAAUCCGUAGAUAUCAAGAAGAAUACCUGUUGCGAAGGCGAUCUGCUGGAACUUAACUGACGCUAAUGCGUGAAAGCGUGGGGAGCAAACAGGAUUAGAUACCCCCGUAGUCCCUGUCUCUUAUAC